AACCAUGUUGCGCCAUGUCGAAACUUUCGUCCACUUUCGGCAGCGGUGGCAGCUGUUUGUUCGUGCUGUGACUUUUUGAGUGGAGAAUUUAGGAUCGUGUUCGCAAGAACGGCAGCAACACCGCUUCAUUUCGGUUCGGUAACUGGCUUUAUUGCUUCGUAUCGAUUCGGUGCUGCUAGGAACGACCCAAGGCGGGCUAAUAUACUGUCACACUGUAUCAAAACAGUGGCAGACUGGUUGACAAAACUGCUGCUUCAGCGUCAUCCGUGACUCAAAGAAUACUAAAAAGCACUAAGCCCGCCAAUCCCUGUGUAAGCAGCUGCAUCUUUCCCUGAGGUGACGCAAAGAAGGAAGCUCCGUACCCGUGAUCUCUCAUCGACCAACUUUCUGCAUGGGAGUCUCGGUUGUCAGUAGAAGAUUACAACAAAGUAUUCCAGGGACAUACAAGCUUGCACUGGGUCUUCCCGAGAUGUCGACAAAGAAGAUGCUCCAACUGGGGAUUAAUCAGAACACCUGGGAUAAGCUUGUGGAAGCUGACAAUGCGAACCAGAUCGAGCGUCUCAAGCUCACUAAGGUAGAGGAUUCCAUUGUGCCUGAGGGACUUUAUCAGAUGGUGGCAGCCCCUAGAAACAUGCACCCUGACCACAACAGGGAAUGAGAGGCCAGAGCUAAAGUACUUGAGAAGGUACGUAAUGUGGACCUGGAUGCCAGGUUUGUGAACGCGGCCAAGUAUCAAAAGAACACGCAUCUGAUCAGCAUGUUGAAGUGCAAGAGAGAGAAGCAGAUGGUGGCGAUGAUCAGAACAGUGGACACGGACUCGGCAGAAGAGGUGGCCAUCGUGCUGGUGGGCGUGACAUGCGAUGGCCAGGGCCCACAGCGUCCUAGACUGAGGGCACUGCUCGCCUAGGGUGAAGACGCUGCCUGGCUCUUUUGAUGAGUUUAAUCCUACUGUUAUAAGUCCUGUGUCUUUGCGAAGGUUACCAAUUUAGUCAAAGUGAAAUUUCUUUGUACUAGGCCUUUGAUGUCCACCAGAAUAUUGGCUAUCCCCACUUACUCUCUAAUCCAUACUGCUGCUUUUAUAUCCCUUAACGUUGCAUCUAUAAUUUGACUUUCCAUCACUCGUAUAGUUCCUAGCUUCUUGUCAGACUUAUUAUGUAGUUUCUGCCCCGUAUUUUAGUACCAGUGAAAUGUAAUGGUUGUCCACAUUUCUUUUCUAGGAUAGCAUCACUUGGAAUACACUUCGAGGAUAUGAGAAUGCAAAUAUCAAUAAUUCCUUCUUAAGAAAAAAUAAAGCAGUCUGAGCUAUCAAUAAUUUGUUGUACAGUGAAUCCACUGAUUUGCUUUCUCAAUCCCUGGAUGUUUGAUCGGCCACACUACUUACCACAACUCAAUAACUUAAAGGAACACUAGAGGCAAAUAUUAAGUCAAGAGAAAGUGAUAGAUUAGUGCUCAAUAAUCUCCAAGGUGUCAAUGUUGUCACAAACAGAGCCUUAACAAUCGAGAAAUUCAGGUAAAUGCAGGGCAUGGUUAGAGACUCCCCCGGGGCGUACAAGUA